UGGGUAAGGUCAAACUUUUUAGUGUCUCAAAUAUGUCCAUAAUAUUUUAUAUUGACAUUUUACAAAAUGACAUAAGAAAAUAUCUCUAUGGUUGAAAACACCUCAACUAGUGUCUCAAUACAUAUGACAAUUUCUAAAGUGCUACAAAAAGUAUCUUUAUAAUACAUUAAUUAAGACAUAUUUAUAAGGGCAAAUAAUAAAACGUCUAUCUCUAUUUGCGAUUUAUGUUGUAGUGAGUAGAGCCUCCACUGAUCAAAUCUCCCCCCCUAUCUCGCACGCACACUGCACAACCCAUCAACCUCGAGCUCUCUCGUCCCUCUCCGCACUGGCAGCAACAUACGCCACCAUGUCCCUCUACUUUCUCCUGUCACCUCCUCACCUCACCAC
rnacentral:lncRNA from 1 species